rnacentral:lncRNA from 1 species
AUGGCGGUUUGGAGGGAGAGGCCACCAUCAGCAACGGUUGUGAAGGUGAGGGGGGUUGGGGGGUUGGUGGGGGGAGGGUGGUUGGAGGACUUUGGGGGUGGUUGGAGGACUUUGGGGGCUGUUGGAGGACUCUGGGUUGAAGAUGGAGGACUUUGGAGGUGGUUGGAGGACUUUGGAGUUGGUUGGAGGACUUUGGGGGUGGUUGGAGGACUCUGGGUGGAAGAUGGAGGACUUUGGAGGUGGUUGGAGGACUUUGGGGGUGGUUGGAGGACUUUGGGGGUGGUGGGAGGACUUGGGGUGAAGGAUGGAGGACUUUGAGACCCUUCUCCUAAAAUAUCCUAAAUUCGAUGGGAAAAACGGCCAAAAAAAGGGGGAAAAUGACCCCAAAUCCCCCCAUUCUGCUGUGCUAUUAUGGGAUGGGCAUUGAGUGGGGUGCUAUUAUGGGAUGGCCAUAAUACAACCCCAUGUAACCCCUUCAGCAGCCCCCAAACUGAAGGUAUCCCUGCUCCCCAAAUCGUCCUCUAACGAACGGAAAAAACGACCCCAAAAUGGGGGAAAACGGCCCC